UACGUAGGUGGCAAGCGUUGUCCGGAAUUACUGGGCGUAAAGCGCACGCAGGCGGUUUGUUAAGUCAGAUGUGAAAUCCCCGGGCUUAACCCGGGAAUUGCAUCUGAUACUGGUCAGCUAGAGUCUUGUAGAGGGGGGUAGAAUUCCAUGUGUAGCGGUGAAAUGCGUAGAGAUGUGGAGGAAUACCGGUGGCGAAGGCGGCCCCCUGGACAAAGACUGACGCUCAGGUGCGAAAGCGUGGGGAGCAAACAGG
rnacentral:rRNA from 1 species